CAUGCAUAGUCGUUUUAAUUAUACCAUAUUCAGGAAUCCCGCCCGGUGCCUCCUUUUGUACCAUCCCAGGAACCUAAUUAGCUUUCUGGUUAUGACUUCAUCUUGCUGCCACACUUGGAAUGACCACCAUUCAAACACAAUCAUACUGACAUGUAACAUGCUGCACUGUGACAUGGUCAGUGCCAUGUGGCAGCGCUUUCUGCCAAGUCUGACAUGUGCUGCCUCCUCUGGCUGACUGGUAUCUGAACCUGACAGAGGCUGUACAAAACCUUUCUGCUACCUGUUCAGGAGGCAGUGCAUGCCAGGGGGCCAAAUCAUUCUGCUUUCUUAAUCCUGUAUUCCCUUAGCAUAUGGAAAGAAACAGGAGAGUCUUCCCGACCUGGACCUGGGCAAAACUGUCAACCAUUCAAGAGAAACUUACAGCCAAAAAGAAGCAUGGCAUGGAAUUCCUCUGGACUAACCUUCACAUUUUGCAAACUGAAGACCCAUGCUCUAAGUAGUGGAUGAGGCUUUGACAAGGCCACUCAGCUAGAGAGCAGGAAACGCUGGUGGGGGCGCCAUUAUGACAGCACACUCUGCCAAAGUUGCAUCAUCAACCAACUGGGUGGGUUGCCCUAGAAAUCCUCCCUCUAGUUCCUGCCCCCCGCACAGCUCCAGCUCAUUCUCUGGUUACUGCCCCUCUGCUCCAUCUCUGGCAUCUCUCUGGUCUGGUCGGUGCCAACUGUUUCUCUUGGUAUAUGCUAUCAGCUGGGAUCUGGUCAAGAGAAUAGUUAUGCUAGCCACAACUAAUGAUUAAUUCCUGGCAUCAUGUAACAAGCUGUGGAAGAAACUGAAAAUCCAGUCAUAAAAAAAGGACUCCAAAGGGCAGGAAUGUCACAUCAAAAUUUCCUAAGCAUAAGUAACUGCCCUCUCCCCAACCAAAAACUUCUUAGGUCUGUGGGAAGAAGAGAUGAAAGAAAGAUGGCCUUUUUACAAGAUCAGAAAAUUCCCAAGCUAGAACAUACAGUGUCAGGGCAAUCAGA